rnacentral:rRNA from 1 species
CCUGGUUGAUCCGCUAGUAGUCAUAUGCUUGUCUCAAAGAUUGCCACGCAUGUGUAAGUAUGAACGAAUUCAGAUUGUGAAACCGCGCAUGGCUCAUUAAAUCAGUUAUAGUUUGUUUGAUGGUAACUACUACCGGAUAACCGAGUAAUUGUAGAGCUAAUACGCCCCCGACUUCUGGAAGGAUGCAUUUAUUAGAUAAAAGGUCGGCGCGGGCUCUGCCCGCUGUUCUGAUGAUUCAUGAUAACUCGACGGAUCGCGAUGGCCUUAGGUUGGCGAUGCAUCAUUCAAAUUUAUGCCCUAUCAACUUUUCGAUGGUAGGAUAGUGGCCUACCACUGUGGUAACGGUGACGGAGAAUUAGGGUUUGAUUCUGGAGAGGGAGCCUGAGAAACGGCUACCACAUCCAAGGAAGUACGCAGGCGCCAGAAUUAGCCCAAUCCUCGACAGGUGGAGGUAGUGACAAUAAAUAACAAUACCGGCUCUUUGGUAAUUGGAAUGAGUACAAUCUAAAUCCUUUAACGAGGAUCCAUUGGAAAGCAAGUCUGGUGCCAGAAGUCGCUGUAAUUCCAGCCCAAUAGCUUAUAUUUAAGCUGUUGCGUUAAAAAAGCUCGAAGUUGAACCUUGGGAUGGGUCGCCUGCUCCACCUUCGUGAGCACCGGUCGGUUUUGUCUCUUCGGUCGGCGUAUGCUCCUGGCCUUAACUGGCUGGGUCGUGCCCGGUGCUGUUACUUUGAAGAAAUUAGAGUGCUCAAAGCAAGCUCACGCUUCAGAUACAUUAGCAUGGGAUAACAUCAUAGGAUUUUGAUCCUAUUGUAUUGGCCUUCGAGAUUGGAGUAAUGAUUAACAGGGACAGUCGGGGCAUUCUUAUUUCAUAGUCGAGUUGAAAUUUUGGAUUUAUGAAAGACGAACAACUGCUAAAAGCAUUUGCCAAGGAUGUUUUCAUUAAUCAAAAACUAAAAAAGUUGGGGCUCAAGACGAUCGAUAACCGGCCCUAGUCUCAACCAUAAACGAUGCCGACCAGGGAUCAGCGGAUGUUGUUUUAGGACUCCGCUGGCACCUUAUGAGAAAUCAAAGUUUUGGGUUCCGUGGGGAGUAUGGUCGCAAGGUUGAAACAUAAAGGAAUUACAGAAGGGCACCACCAGGAGGCAGCCCGCGGCUUAAAUUUGACUCAACACGGGAAACUUACCAGGUCCAAAACAUAGUAAGGAUUGACAGACUGAGAGCUCUUUUUGAUUCUAUGGGUGGUGGUGCAUGGCCGCUUUUAGUUGGUGGUUUGCAUUUGUCUGGUUAAUUCCGUUAAUCUAAUCCAGACCUCAGCCUGCUAACUAGCUACGUGGGGAGGCAUCCCUUCAUGGAGACUAUGGCCAUUUAGGCCAAAGGAAGUUUGAGGCAAUAACAGGUCUGUGAUUCCUUUAGAUGUUCUGGGGUCGCGACGCUGCAUUCACACUGAUGUAAUUAUCGAAGUUCACACCUUUGACCGACAGGCCCGGUAAUCUUUGAAAUUUCAUCGUGAUGGGGAUAGAUCAUUGCAAUUGUUGGUCUUCAACGAGGAAUUCCUAGCAAUUCAUCAGCUCCCAUUAACUACGCCCCGCCCCUUUGGUACACACCGCCGCUUCCUACCAAUUGAAUGAUCCGUGAAAUGUUCGAUCAGGGCGACGGGGGUGGUGUAACACCCUGAUCCGCCGACAAGGCCAUGGUCGAAGCCUUUACAUCGCCAGGGUCCACUUCCUGGCCGAACCUCU